rnacentral:tRNA from 2 species
UUAAAAAUGGUGUAAAAAGCACAACAAAUUUUCUAUUUGUGGGUAACUUUAUAGUUUUUUUAAA